rnacentral:miRNA from 1 species
UUUGUAAAGUCUUCUGCUAUUCC